rnacentral:rRNA from 1 species
AACGAACGCUGGCGGCAUGCCUAACACAUGCAAGUCGAACGAGACCUUCGGGUCUAGUGGCGCACGGGUGCGUAACGCGUGGGAACCUGCCCUUGGGUUCGGGAUAACAGUUGGAAACGACUGCUAAUACCGGAUGAUGACUUCGGUCCAAAGAUUUAUCGCCCAGGGAUGAGCCCGCGUAGGAUUAGCUUGUUGGUGAGGUAAAGGCUCACCAAGGCGACGAUCCUUAGCUGGUCUGAGAGGGUGAUCAGCCACACUGGGACUGAGACACGGCCCAGACUCCUACGGGAGGCAGCAGUGGGGAAUAUUGGACAAUGGGCGAAAGCCUGAUCCAGCAAUGCCGCGUGAGUGAUGAAGGCCUUAGGGUUGUAAAGCUCUUUUACCCGGGAUGAUAAUGACAGUACCGGGAGAGUAAGCCCCGGCUAACUCCGUGCCAGCCGCCGCCGUAAAAC